CCCCAAUCGGGCGGUAAAUUCCGUCCA
rnacentral:siRNA from 1 species